rnacentral:rRNA from 1 species
UACGAAGGGGGCUAGCGUUGCUCGGAAUCACUGGGCGUAAAGCGCACGUAGGCGGACUCUUAAGUCGGAGGUGAAAUCCUGGAGCUCAACUCCAGAACUGCCUUCGAUACUGGGAGUCUCGAGUUCGGGAGAGGUGAGUGGAACUGCGAGUGUAGAGGUGAAAUUCGUAGAUAUUCGCAAGAACACCAGUGGCGAAGGCGGCUCACUGGCCCGAUACUGACGCUGAGGUGCGAAAGCGUGGGGAGCAAACAGG